UGGAACUAACACCUGCCGAAUCAUCUCAAAGAUCCAUACUUUACACAGUGACAACAAAAGACAUCACGUUUGCUCUAACAAGAACCAGUGAGUUUGUUUUAUUCGGAUACUGUAUCAUCAAAACAGAACCACCUAAGCUAUUCUUCAUAGAAACAUGAUCUGGAAGAUCAUUUAAAGGAAAGACUAAAACUUCCGUAGAAAACUUAGAUAUCUUCACCUAUGUGAAUUCGAAAUUCAUAUAUGUAGAAAGACAUCUUAAGACACAACUAACCUCGUUAUAUGUCGAUAUUACGCGACAAAAGUGUGUCACAACAAAUUCUCAGGAAUGCUCUAUCUUUACCAACAAUGGCACCCGACGAAAUGGCUUAUAUCUUGAUGAAGCAGCCAGGGUACAUGGCAGUCAUCGCGGCAGAAGUAAUAUAUAUUACAAAAUGUAUUCCUGUGGAAGUAAAAGUCAGACAGACUGAGGGAUGCUAUAAGGAAUUACCGAUCACUUAAAACACUUAUCAUCCUAAAAAAAGAUUCCCCAAAAGAUUGUAACGAAUUAUUUCUCGACAUGUAUAAUCUACAUGGAACCUGAUGUAGAGUGACUCCGAAACUGGUCGAAUCAAUACCUCGCCCAAUAAUUCAACCUCUAACCACAGUGGAGAUACAUCGACCUUGAACACCUGGGAACAAGCGGUAUUUACUCAAACGAGGAUCUAAGCCAUUUUCAGUCGGAGUCUUAGCCAUUUUCAUGGAUCUUCAAUUAGUCAAGUUCAUCGUCGACACACUCAUCCAUAGGUACGCAUUACAUGAUAUUUAUGGAUGGAGCCUACAUUUCCUAGGUGCCUUAUGGAGUUCAAUGACAAACCUCCUCCUCCUCCUCGCCAAAGGAGUGGAACAAGAAAAACCUCCCACAGAAAUGGCACCCGAGACUACUGCCCUCCACGAGGAAAAGGGAGAACCCGCAGCUGACGCAUUCAAUCGACCAAACACAUCCUUUGAAUUAAACACAUACAUAAAAAUAAAUGUUAAAAUGUACGUAUAUCUACGCACAUUUUUAAAUAAGGGUGGAAGUAUUACAUCCAACACCCCUAUCAUACUUAAAUUUAAAUGCCUCUUAUCUACUUAUAAAGAUCUUAGUCUUCUGAAAAUAUGUUGCUAAUAAUAUUAUUGCAAAUCACUCAUUAGGCAUAAGAAGCGAUCGAGGACACCUUACAUAUUUAUCAGUCUUUCUAUUAUACAAAAUAUUUUUACAAUACAAAACCUGUAGCGCAUUGAACGGAGUCCACGAUACGUGACGCACGCCAUAACUUCCACGUGAUGGAAGCCAUAAGAUGCGCCACAUGUAACGUACCAAACGACCAUAUUGUCGGUAGGUCGAGGCAACGCCUCAUCCCCAUAGCAAAGCUCCCACAGUAAAAUCCUAUUUAAUUGAACGAAGAAGAUCAUCACUCAUUUACGGGUAACAGGAAUAUGAAAGCAUAGCCGUAAUUCAAAUCUGAGUAACAAGGUUAACAAUAUCACUCUACCGUGGACAGAACUUUCAUUCAUUAAGUGUCAAAAAUAGUUCUUAUCGAAAUAAAGAACGUGAACUAGCUCAAUACAAUCUGAACAAUAAGGCUGUAGAAAUUGUAAGUACGUAUGUACGGAUGCGAGCAGGAAUGUAAAUGCUAUGAGGUAAGCAAAAAAACGAAGGUGCAGUCUUAGGUCAAACCUAUGCUAAGAGAGAGAUAUCAGAGUAAAUAGUAACAAGUUCGAUCCUGAGUGAAUCAACGAAGUCACGAAUGAGUUACACUCUUGAACAAAAAGAUAGUUAACAAUUUUCGUAAUAUUCUUAAAUUAGAAAUAUGUAGUUUCAGAAAUUUAUAAUGAAAGUGAGAAUACAAUCAUUGCUGAAAUAAUGCGUAAAAUAAUGAGAAACAAUGAGUAUAAUGGUCGAUUAGCAAGAAGAAUACCAUACAUCAAUUAAAUAAAUAGGAAAAGAAGAUUAACUUAUUCCAAAGAGUAUGUUCAUAAACUGCAAAAUUGCUGGAAAGAUGUUAUUUUUGCUGAUGAAAAUAAAUAUAAAAUAAAUAAUAAUAAUAAUAUAUAAAAUAAUAAUAUAUAAAUAAAUAAUAAUAUAUAAGAAUAUAAAUAAAAUUGUAUUUUUAGUUCAGACAGAUAAAGUAUAGUGUGGCGAAAAGUAAGUCAAACUUUGAAACCAACAAAUUUAAAAUUUACUUUUAAACAUGUGAGUGAUUUUGUGAUUGUAUGGGGAUGUAUUUCAAGUACUAGAGUUGAUGAAUUGGUAUUCAUCGACCAUAUUUUAGAAAAGAACAAAUAUUUGGACAUUCUGAAGAAAAAUUUUCGGUAAAGUGCAAAUAAGAUUGGACAAAAAGACAGCACAUUUAAAAAUUUUCGUAAUAAUCUUGAAAUAUAAAUAGUGCCAGAUAAAAUGAUAAGACAUUUGAUGUAUUUAUAUAAUUUAUAUAACAUAAUAAUAUGUACAUUUUACAUACUCUAUGUAUUAGAUAUGUCAUAAAAUUGCAUAAAAUUGCAAGUUUAUAUCUUGUACAUGAAAGAAAUUAGGGAAAGAAGUGUAAAUAUCGACUGACAUUACUUAAAAUUACG